AGUGGGAAAAGGGCCAUCCCCAAGGAAAGGGGAAAAUGAGAAGGAGGGGUAGGUUUCCGAUGCCAAAAUCUGGACCAACCCGGCGAGGUCAAAGGCCUCAGACCGCGGGAGUGUAAAGUAAUGAUGAUGAUGAUGUCAUGAAAAAUCGCAAAUGCACGCUCCUAUUCAUGCACGAGCGAGUGGCAAAUCUCCUCGCGUCAUUACCAAGUGCACCGGAAUAAUUCAGUUUUCCGCUAGCAGUCUGCACGCGCUUUCCAGAAUUAUAAAAAAGGACAGAAGUAGAAAAUGAUUGUUCUGUGGUGCGAACGGUCGUCUUGAUCCUGUUUGAAUCCAGUAAAGGUAUAAACUCCAGCCGAUUAAACCACCAAAUACAAGGGCUCAUAUCUAUGGAGGAUAUUAUGGCAGCAUUCCAGGGCUGGGUAGAGCAUCGUGACUGUAUUCUCUCACAGAUAAAACCGAGUAGGGUCUUUGCUGUAAGCACGGAACUGGGCCGGUUUGAACCGAGAGUGAGGGACAAUGCGAGACACUUUAAUUGUCUCGAUUUGAGUCGAAUUCCAAUUAACUUUGUUUUUUUUCAUCGUCGAGAUGUAUAAGCUACUGUGGUUUCCAGACAGAAACACACCUGUACCAAUGAUGUACCAAUUGAACCUUUGAUAAUUCAAUUGAGGAAAUCUAGCUCCAAGAGCAAGAAAAGCAAAAUGUGACCCACACUUUGGGACCAGCUCCGAGCGGGUGUGAGCAGUGCAGAUGGAGAAAAUGAAGUGAAGAAACCAAGGGUUCUGCCUGGGAAAUCGCCCAUGCAUAAUGAAACCACCCGCUCCGCCAUUCUCAAUGCUUCGACGCUGUUGGUUCCAGCCUGCGUAUUAUUUGUAAUAUUGAUGCAUAUGUAAAAGGUAUAUUUGCAUUUGCUUUACUUUUUUAUGAUUCGUUUAGCAUUCUAUUACUUUUGGUGGUGAUUGCUAUGCGUAUUUAUCUAUGAUGACGAGCAGCUACACGAAUACAUAACCUUACGAAUCAUACACAAAUAACAGUAAAUAACAUUAUGCAAAGUGUAUUAGUUUGUUAAGAAUGUGAAAAAGUCAAAUAUAAUGUUUUUAACCUUGGACAAUGUAUGAACAAAGCGACUUGUCAAACUAUAGAAGAGAUUCAGUGCGAUUAUAAUGCUGAGGAUAUGUUCUUAUUUAAACUUGAAUUAUCUAUUUUAAAACGUUUCAAUUUAUUUAUAUACUCCAAGCAGUGUGCUGUAGAUUGUGCUUGGGAUUAGUUUACAUGAAACCUUUAGGAUCACGGUAUGUGAAAUGUGCAUUUGCAGGAUGUAAGUAGCUAAAUGUUAAGUGUUACCGCACCUUAGGUUUCUUUAAAGGCGACAUUUCCCCGGUAUAGGCUGAUGAUGCGUACACACACAGGCGGCGUUUACGGGAGCGCGCGCGCGGCCACAGCACCACCCAACCAUGCACACACACGCACGCUCACAGACACACACACACACACGCUGACAAACACACAGAAAGAAACGCUGACUUGUUAACCGUUGUCUUGAAAUAGCAAGUCUGUUAUUUUUUCCGUAGCUUAUUGUCGUUUUGUUUUAUCAAAAAAAUGUUUUGCAUAAUUAGUAUUUUGCCUGUUUAAAAUAAAAUCGCAAGGCGUCGUCUAAAGUAAAUGAGACACAUUUAACUUACCCUU